rnacentral:rRNA from 1 species
GAUGUACGCUCGCGAUAGGCUUAACACAUGCAAGUCGAGGGGCAGCACAAGGUAGCUUGCUCUCUGGGUGGCGACCGGCGCACGGGUGCGUAACGCGUAUGCAACUUGCCCUAUACAGGAGGAUAACCCGUCGAAAGACGGACUAAUACUGCGUAUGCUCACAACUUGGCAUCAAGUGGUGAGGAAAGAAAUUCGGUAUAGGAUAGGCAUGCGUCCCAUUAGCUUGUUGGUGAGGUAACGGCUCACCAAGGCAACGAUGGGUAGGGGAACUGAGAGGUUUAUCCCCCACACUGGUACUGAGACACGGACCAGACUCCUACGGGAGGCAGCAGUGAGGAAUAGUGGUCAAUGGGCGCGAGCCUGAACCAGCCAAGUCGCGUGAAGGAUGACUGUCUUAUGGAUUGUAAACUUCUUUUAUACGGGAAUAACAAGAGUCACGUGUGACUCCCUGCAUGUACCGUAUGAAUAAGCAUCGGCUAACUCCGUG